GACGAACGCUGGCGGCGUGCCUAAUACAUGCAAGUCGAACGCUUCUUUCCUCCCGAGUGCUUGCACUCAAUUGGAAAGAGGAGUGGCGGACGGGUGAGUAACACGUGGGUAACCUACCCAUCAGAGGGGGAUAACACUUGGAAACAGGUGCUAAUACCGCAUAACAGUUUAUGCCGCAUGGCAUAAGAGUGAAAGGCGCUUUCGGGUGUCGCUGAUGGAUGGACCCGCGGUGCAUUAGCUAGUUGGUAAGGUAACGGCUCACCAAGGCCACGAUGCAUAGCCGACCUGAGAGGGUGAUCGGCCACACUGGGACUGAGACACGGCCCAGACUCCUACGGGAGGCAGCAGUAGGGAAUCUUCGGCAAUGGAUGAAAGUCUGACCGAGCAACGCCGCGUGAGUGAAGAAGGUUUUCGGAUCGUAAAACUCUGUUGUUAGAGAAGAACAAGGACGUUAGUAACUGAACGUCCCCUGACGGUAUCUAACCAGAAAGCCACGGCUAACUACGUG
rnacentral:rRNA from 1 species